rnacentral:rRNA from 1 species
UACGUACCCGUAACCGACGAAGGGGGGGCGGUNUCCACGGUGAGAUUCAUGACUGGGGUG